GGCGAACGCUGGCGGCGUGCUUAACACAUGCAAGUCGAACGGUGAGCCUCUUCGGUUGGGGUCAGUAGCGAACGGGUGAGUAACAGGGGAACAAGCGGCUCACGGCCCUGGGAUAACGGGAAGAAAUUGGGACUAAGGCCGGAUGUCCACCGCAUCUCGUAUGGCUGGUGGUGGAAAGGGUUUACGGCUGGGGAUGGGCUCGCAGCGAAGCAGCUUGUCGGUGGGGUAGGGUCGUACCAAGGCGGCGAUGGGUAGGCCACCUGGGAGGGUGACCGCCCACACGAGGACUGAGAUACGCCCCAGACGCCUACGUGCGGCAGCAGUGGGGAAUAUUGCGCAGUGGGCGGAAGCCUGACGCAGCGACGCCGCGUGCGGGAUGACGGCUUUCGGGUUGUAAACCUCUUUCUGCAGGGACGAAGCGCAAGUGACGGUACCUGCAGAAGAAGCACCGGCUAACUACGUG
rnacentral:rRNA from 1 species